rnacentral:rRNA from 1 species
AAAAAAUAACACGUGAGUAACCUGCCCUUGACUUUGGGAUAACUUCAGGAAACUGGGGCUAAUACCGGAUAGGAGCUCCUGCUGCAUGGUGUGGUUUGGAAAGUUUCGGCGGUUGGGGAUGGACUCGCGGCUUAUCAGCUUGUUGGUGGGUUAGUGGCUUACCAAGGCUUUGACGGGUACCCGGCCUGAGAGGGUGACCGGCCAAAUGGGGAAUGAGAGAAGGACAAGAAUCAUAAGGGAGGAAGCAGUGGGGAAUAUGGCAAAAUGGGCGGAAGCCGGAUGAAGCAACGAUUGUUUUGUUUAAA